CCAGUUCGCCAACAGCUUGCUAUGUAACUUGCGCGCACGUUUCGCAUGCGAAGAGUCUGUCUGGCGUGUUGGUGUCCCCGUUGGCCAACCCCGGAGCUGUUAGCCGUAAGGUGUGCUGUGUGUUUCGCAUUCGUUGUUUGAAUGUGAUGUUUACUUAGAAGCGACAGGGAGCAGAGAACAGGCAGUAUCUAAAAAUAAGACUGCGCCAUCGAAAUAGUCCACUCGACGCAACCGGCGGUCAGAGUAUUUGCAUGUGUGUGUGUGGUUGUCUGAGUAGAUGUUUGCGAUCGUGUGCGUAAUGUGGUUCUAUGCGCUGCGUGAUGUGACUUUUGCACCAAUACGCUUUGCCUGUGCGUGCUGAAGGGAAAAUCGGACCAGUUUUUCUCUCUCGCGAGGAAACACCCAGUGCGCGUGUGUUCGCCGUUGGCUGGAAGUGUGUGUCUUGUGCAUCUGUUCGGGAAUCGUUGCAUUCCCAGUUGGUCAUGUGAAUCCGGCGAGAUCUAGACGAACGUUGCGCAGUGAUCGUGAUCGUGUAUGAGUGAACGUUUGUGCGCGAAAACAUUCCCGGGCAGCACAUGGUACACCGCAACGAGCGAGUGUGUUGUAUGCGAAUGUGUUUCGUGAUCUCGGUUUGAAGUGUGCUCUUAGCACAGCGCUCCCGUUAGAUAAGGGCCAGAGCCGGUGAGGAUAUGUUAUGUUCUGUGUGAUCUAGGGCUGCAUGCAGCUCAUUUCACGGUGCAGCAAAAUCGCUCCGAUCGGAUUGGAUCGGGAGGAGUAAGAGUGACGCAACAAGUGGGCGAGCUAGAUUUUCAGUGAAAAGUGACGAUUUUGCAACGGACUCAAUUUUACUCUAAUGCCACUUUCCUCGGACUUUUCCAGUCCAAUAUUGCGCAGCCAGCCGAUUGGUGCUUGGAGUUGUAGAAUAUCAAGACCAAGAAUAUAAGUGAUCAUGCAAGUGUUUGUGAAAUAGUGAAGAAGUUUCAAUAGGUCAGCCCGAGUUUAGCACCCAUAAGCCAAGUUUAGUAUCGUGAUCGGGAAAGUGAAUUUAAAAAAAAAUACACAUUUUCUAGUGUUUAACAUGAAAUCAUACCAUUGAAUCGGUACAAGUGUUAAAUUAAUUUUGGUGCAGAAAAAGUAUGCCAGUGCUUCAGUUAAGGAAUAUCACCACAGCUAACCAAACUAUUGACGCACAGAAAAUAUAUUCAACAGCAUUGGAUUCACCCAUCGUUGGAACGAUUCAUUUAGCAAAACGAAAGUUUAAACGAAAACCAUCAACAUGUCUUAUCGAAGUUACAAUUAUCCUUGGUCUACGUCCAGUUACAAUUCAAGCUCUUCGUCGUAUUCCGCAUCAUCUAGUCUGCCAAGCUCCUAUCGGAGCUCAAGAUUCUCGACCGAACCUUCAACGACGUCCCGGUUCAGUUCGUUGAGUUCCACGAGCAGCUAUCGUCCAUCAUUAUCUUCCGGGAGCUAUCGUUCUCCGCGAUCUACGACCACAGCUCCAAGCUCGACCGUUUCCUCCUUUAUCAGCCGAUACUCGAGCCUAGCAGCCGACAAGGACAAGGAAAGGGAAAGAGACAAAGCGAAGGAAGAAGAACGACGAAAGGAGCGCGAAUUGAGGGAGAGGGAACGCGAAAAAGAACGUGAUCGUGAAAAGGAGCGUUUAAUCGAAACAUCUAAGAAGCUUGAAGCAGAAAUAAAGGAAAGCAAACCCGCACCGUUGAAGAAGUCUUCUCUGAUAGCGGCAAAGUACGGUUCAACCAAGGAUGUAACAGCGACCGACGAUUCAUCCACGAAGAGCGGUACAACAAAUAAAACCCAAUCCUCCAAAGAGGUUGGCACAAAGCCAAAGAAAGAAAAUGCACCUCCCGUAACGUUCAAUACAAGGUAUGGGCGCACCGGAGUCGCUCGGGAGCAGUCUCGUGAACCUAGUCCGGCAACGAGAACGAGCUCUUCAACUUCAAUCACUGCACGCACUAGGCAUCGCGAUCCAAGUCCCGUGGCAACAACUGUCACGGAGAAGGCACGAUCCCGAGAUCCAAGUCCUGUCGUCGAGCCCAAACGUACUGGAGGAUAUGCAUUAGCUAUAGCCAGCAAACUGUCCGGCUCGAAACUUCCGCAGCAGAGUGCUCCCAAUGAAUAUCGAAGGCAAUCGAGUGGCACCGCUUUCGGGCAGAAUAGAGCACGCUCUCGUGAUCCGAGCCCAACGGUACGAACGAGAACCUCGCGUGAACCGAGUCCCAUGGAGCAACGGCGGCUACAGCUAGCUAAUAAAAUGAUCGCCACAGCUGCACGCUCUCGUGAUCCAAGUCCUGCGCCAGUGCAGCAAAUUAAACAAUCGCUAGGUGGCAACAAACAGAGCAAUACCGUUGAUCAAAAACAGCGAUUUACGAGCUCAAUCACUAUCAAAACUGGGACAGGUGUGCGAUCGCGUGAUCCUAGCCCGGCUGAAGCGAGAAAAAUUCCAACGCUCAAUAAUAAUGCAAGCAAAGUGCGCUCCCGAGACCCUAGUCCCGCUGACCCGAAACGAACCACAGCGUCUUUGAGUGGACGAACAUCCCGUAAAAACAAUGAAACAGGUAUAACAAAGCCCUCGACAUUUGGCACUGGACGAAAAACGCGCGAUCCCAGCCCAGGAAUUGCCAAUAAGGUCCGUAGUCGAGAUCCCAGUCCGGCAACGGUUCCACGCCGGACUUCACGAGAACCAAGUCCAGCGGAGUCUGUGCGCGAAAAGUAUGGACUGGGAGGUUCGGGAGCGUACCGUCCAUAUGGACGAUCGAACAGUGCACUCGGAGUAGGUAAUCGAUUUGGAGCCAGUGCUAGUCCCGUUCCUAAAAGUCCAAUCGCAGACCUUGCAUUAUCGUACAUGACAUCUAGUGAGGCAAUAGCAUCUCGAACAAGUCGUCCUUCAUCUAGGUUGCGAUUAAGCUCGCAAUCUCGAGAACCUUCCCAAUGCUCGUCACCGUUGACCGCAAGUCAGAUCUUUUCACCGGAACCACGCACAGCAUCAAACGAAGAGCAGAAACGGGAAGGAUCAAGUUCGUCGGAAACUACCACCACAAGCUCGUCGUCUGAAGAAUCAUCAGAGGAAACGGAAAGCAGCACUGAGCCAGAACCGAAGAUAUUCAUUGAAAUAACGCUGGUAACGCGCGGUACAUCUCCAACACCACCAGGUACAACUCCGUUCAUAAGAGCCCGCAGGGCAGAAAUGUGUAAAACGAUUGAAAAAACUAUACAGAAGCAGCUUCUCCCAGUCGAAACGGCUGACAAGCAGAUUCAGUCGGAUCGAAUGGACGAUCCAACGAAAUAUUUGCGCUAUGGCCAACCUUCCACACGUAGCUGGUCACCGUUUAUAGAGCCAAAGUAUGGCUCAUCCUCCCCGACACUUGGGUAUACGCGUUAUUCGAGUGCAUCGUCCCGGUAUAGCCGUGAUAGUCCCAGUUUUAGCCGCGAAACAAGUGUAAGCUCAUCGAAGAGUGACGUACCUGAGAAACGCGAGCUAUCCACGCUAGCUGCUAGAGUGAAGGAGUUGAGUUUAUCGAAAUCCAAUAGCUCUAAAUCCACGGGCAGUCGAUCGUCUACUGGAAGCGGCCCAACUGGGAAGCAGAAAACGCCUCCGAAACAGAAAUCACCCGAAAAGCCUCCUCCUGCACCGGCCAAGGACAGUCCAUCUCCGGUUAGAUCGGUGGCUAACAAGGACUUCCGCAAAUCAGCACUUAACAUGGGUCCAGCACCUGAACGACCCCGCAAAUCGUCCACAUCGUCAAGCAAAUCGUCCAGCUCAUCGGCAUCCACGGCAACACCAGUUGCUGAAACGAAUGGUUCAACCAGUCGCAUUCCUCACGUAAGGCAGCAAAAUGGAUCGAAGCUUGUUAAACGAUCCGAUCGAUCCUCAUCCACCAGUUCGGAGGAGACGAGUAGUGGCAGUGGCUCCUCCGGCACAGAUACCGAUCGUGAACAGUCGAUCACCCGAACAGCCCCGAACGAACAGGAAGAUCUUAGUGCCGCAACGGACGCAUCGAACGCGAAUAAUGAGCUGCUAUUGCGUGCCAUUCAAUUGGCCACGAAUUUUGUAAACAAUCAAAAUCGCAGCGCGACUAGCUGGUAUGAUAAUGCCAGCACAACGAGCAUGUCUGAAAGUUUGGCCGCGGAUCCGAAUGGAAAAUCAGGUUGGGAGGCAGGAACACAUUACAUGGAAAGUAUAAAGGAUGAUUCCAGCAAUGAGGAGGACGAUGGCGAUGAAGCUGACGAGAAACAGCAAAACAACGAAGGCUGUGAAGAAGAUCAAAAGUCAAACUCAGGCUACCAACAAGCGAUGUGGUGGAGGCGUUCGGGUAACUUUGAGCAAACGGCAACCGUACAGGAUACGGUUCCGAGUGCUCGUAGCUUUACGUACCGGAUCAGGCGCGUUGAGUCCGGUGAAAAGCCAUGGUGGUUAUCAGAGGAUGACAACAAACCGGUACCUGAACUGGAACCGGGUACUGGGCAGGAUAUGGCUGCUGGUACGGAGAUGACGACCGAUGACGGGCGUACUACUGCAACGAGCAUAUUCGAGAGUCAAGCGUUGAGUCCCUUCCGACCGAUCAGAGUAACGCGGGUGGAGUCCGGCGAACGGGCAUGGUGGAUGAAGAGCACCGAGAACGUAGCGGCCAAAUCAUCCGGUGAGCGAAGCAAGCAGCCCAGCAAAGAACAAACUCCAGAAUCAGUCGGUGGGGGUAAAAAGAGUCCUGGUUAUACGGUGUUUAAGCUCGAAGCAGAAGAUGAAGCGUGGUGGGAACAGGCUAUGGCUGAUGUGUCGCGCAAGCAGACCUCUGGUAGCAGUCAAAGCAGCACAUCUGCAAGUGAAGAACCAUCGAAGGAGCCUACCCCGGAACCGCGAAGCCAAGGUAUCACGCUUACUCGAGUCGUUUCGGGAGAGAAGGCUUGGUGGUUGUAUAGCUCAGAUAAGGUGAACGAGCAGGUGAACGAGCAGGCGAACGAGGCUGUGACAGCAGACGCUGGUGAGAACGGUGUCGAUAGCAAUGAGUCGAUUCGUGAGUGCAGUCCGGUGAAGGCGAAGCCAUUCAAAAUAACGCGUAUCGAGUCCGGUGAGCAGCCCUGGUGGAUGUUGGAAACCUCAGAUGCACCCGUAUCACGAUCGGGAUCAAAAUCGAACGUAGUAAGCCGUUCCAAUAGUUUCAAUUCCAAAGCGAGUGGGAAGCAAACCAGUCCUACCAAGUACCGUAUAACUCGCAUCGAAUCGGGAGAAAGGGCAUGGUGGAUGAGCAGCGAAAGCCCGGACGAGGGUGCCGGAAGUCCACGCAAGCUAUCAUCCUUCGUGGAGCAACACGGCGAAGAGGAAGCCGAUCUUCAAAACGAAGACAUUGAGGCGCAGGUGGAGCAAGAGCUGCAAAGCAUUACCAGUUUUGUGGCCGGCUUGCCCAAAUUCCCUACGGGCGAUUACACAAUCGAGCCGAUGACUAGCGAAACGCCACCACUAGGCGAUCGUGCCAGUCCGGAAGGAGAGGCUGGCGGUCGAGCUUCCCCGUACGAUAACAUUCCCUCGACGAUGAUCCCUCCAGUGCAAACGAGCGUCCAGACGCUUCCGAUCGUAUCGAUGGACAGCGGCACGACUGUUCCGGCAGACGGUGGUAGUUUUAGCACACGGAAGGACACCCAGUCACCCGUGUUUAUUUCGCGUCAUACCAACAUUGACGAUCUGCUGGGUGGCUCUUGCCAUCCACUCAGCCCUAUGAUGGACAGGAUGUUUAUUAUGGAUGACCUGCAAGAGAUCACUCCAAAAGACGUUCGAGUACACGACAGUACACCGCAGUUCAUCGAUUACGCCGGACAGAAAAGGGAGCAAACGACGGGCGCGCUUGAUGAUGCGGCGCUACAAGUAUACAAAGACGGAGACUAUGGAGCAUACCUCGAUCUGGAAUCGUCGCUGGCCGAACAAUCCGAAGAUAUUGAAGGGCUCAACGCAAACCGCAAAAACUCACUGGUCGUCCGUACGCAGCUCAGCGUCCGAGUUCACUCCAUUAUCGAAAAACUUCUUUCCUCCGAAGGCCGCGAACUGCGACGGGUGCUAUUUUCGUUGAAGCAAAUCUUCCAAGAGGACAAAGACCUGGUGCACGGAUUUGUUGCCCACGGGGGUCUCAACUGUCUGGUGCAGAUAGGCAGCGAAGCGGAUCAGAACUAUCAGAACUACAUUCUGCGAGCACUCGGACAGGUGAUGCUCUACGUGGACGGUAUGAACGGUGUGAUGAAACAUUCGCCGACCAUCCAGUGGCUGUACUCGCUGAUCGCGUCACGCUAUCGGUUGGUGGUGAAGACAGCGCUCAAGCUGUUGCUAGUCUUUGUCGAGUACUGUGAGGGCAACUGCUACCUGCUCGUAAGCGCCAUCCGAUUCAUGGAUACGGCCCGCGGCGUUGUUCCGUGGAACAACAUCAUGCGGCUUCUUAAAGACUACGAAAACGCUGAUACCGAACUGUUGAUCUACGCUACAUCACUGAUCAACAAAACUCUGUCGGGCUUGAGCGAUCAGGACAGUUUCUACGACGAGAGUGACUUCCUGGAGCAGCAGGGCAUGGAGGGCAUCAUCCAGCGAUACAUGUCCCGCCCAGGCACUGAUCUCGAUUUGCUCGAUCAGCUGCAGCUGUACGAGAGCGUUCUGAGAUUCGAGGACGGUGAGUGCGACGGUAUACGCAUACCAGACAACACUGUGCGCAAAACGCUUCGAUACCGUUCCACUGGCAACGAUACGACCGAUCGACGGAAAUCGCGUCGACAUAGCACGGGAACGGCUCCACCCCAACCGCCUUCAGUUGCUCCACCACCUCCUCCACCACCUCCACCGAUGCCAGCGUACACCAUGUACUCGGCACCGCCCAGUGGACCUCCACCACCACCGCCGCCCCCAUUGCCUCCACCAGUGGUACCGGUACAGCUGUACGGAGGACUCCAGCUGCCCGGACAACGUCAACAGGAUGAGGACAGUUCUAGCUCGGCUCACAGUGGUGAUCACCUGCCCGGCAGUGGAUAUCACGAUCCGUCCCGUGACACUACCGGAGUAACGCCCGGACUGCGGCGACGUCGCGAACGAGCCGAGCGGCAAAUGAACUUAAUGCGCGAACAGCAAGAACUCGGCCAAUUCCCGAACGGCAUUGUGCCAACCGGGGAAGAUGGAAAUAAUGCAACCAAUGGAUAUCACGCGGGCCAUCGAAAUGGUGCAAGCAACUAUCGCAGACAGUCUGGCGGUACCGGACCACUCACGAGCUCGUCGCUGCUAGCACCGCCAACCAUCCACGAAGAGGACAAACUUCAGUUACGUCUCAACGGCGGUCUAACCUCGUCUGUGAUUUUGCAUAAGCAACAACCCUCUAAUCAUAUAGAACACACGAACGGCACCGGGCAUGCUAAUGGGCACGGUGCAGCCAACGCUACAUCCCAACUGGACAGUGUUGAGUAUCGCAAUAGUCGCAAUCUAUUGCUCAAGAAGCAUGGCACUAGCGGUGGCGUUAGUAUGGUGCCUGUAUCAAUCUCCAACGGCACCGCCCCUGAUCGUUAUAAGGCAGAUCUCAAUGGAAAUAGUGUUAGAAGUACACGCACCUGCACCGGCGUGUUGUCGGAACAGGACGACGAAAACAAAAGUCCCAACAUUAAGACACAGAUGAUGGGGUUAUCGGUUGCGUACGGGAAGCAGCUAGCAAACGGUAAGGAUUCCUCCGACACGAGCUACCAUCGACGUUCUGCCACGAGCACGGCCUAUGAACGGUCGAAUGGUUCGUUGAAUGGAGGCCACGUUGAGCCCAAGGGGCAAGAUCUCCCACCGGUUCCAGCAGAAUCGGAUAACGAAGAUAAGAAGCUAAUUCUACAGCUAAAGAAGGACCAUACAGUGAAAGAUUUGACCCAGAAGCUAAGCUGCCUACCGCUAAGCCCGCAAGAGGAGAAGCCCCAAAAUCGAAUCGGUGACAUGUCCGGCCUGAUUUCCAAAGCUAAGGAAGGGCUGGCUAAGAGCAAAAGCAACAAGGACAUCUCUCGAUCGCCCAGCGUCGACAAUGACAUCAAAAAGCUUGCCAACGGAGAACCGAAAAAGUCCGAAAACGAGCUCCACUGGGAAGAGAUUGUGAAGAACAUGACGCGCAAGCUGAGCCUGUGUGAUCUGGACUUUACCGAUCUCACCUCGGAUGACGAUAAGGAUUUGCUGGCUCCGCGGGGCUUCGGUGGAGCUGUACCACCGCCGCCACCUCCCAGCGGUAUGCUGAUGAACGGUAUGCCCCCUCCACCGAGUAUGAUGCGUCCGCCACCGACCAACCUGGUACCGCUAUCAGGCAGCAUGAUGAAUGGAAACGGGCUGCCUCAACCGAACAGCUUGGACGGGUCGGCGGCCAUUAAGAAAAACAAAAAGACUGUGAAACUGUUCUGGAAGGAGGUGCGUGACGAUAUGAUUCCUGCCGUUAUUCAGCGCACCAUCUGGGAUGAGUUGCCCGAAGCGAUUGUAGACACGCAAAAGCUGGAGCAUCUGUUCGAAUCAAGAGCCAAAGAUUUGAUGACAAAGAAGCAACAGGAGCUAAACAAGAACAAGGAAAUCAUCGUCCUGGACCAUAAGCGCUCGAACGCGAUCAACAUCGCCAUGACGAAGCUGCCUCCCCCGAGAGCGAUUAAGGCGGCCAUUCUAAAGAUGGACUCGACCGUCGUAACACGCGAAGGCAUCGACAAGCUGCUGAACAUGCUGCCCACCGACGAGGAGCGGUGCAAAAUCCAGGAGGCACAGAUGCUCAACCCAGAGCUGCCGCUCGGCACGGCCGAACAGUUUCUGCUGACCCUUUCCUCCAUCUCCGAGCUGGGGGCUCGGUUAAAGCUGUGGGCGUUCAAACUGGACUUUGAAAACAUCGAGAAGGAAAUUGCCGAACCGCUGAACGAUCUGAAGCAGGGCAUCGAGCUGCUGAAAUCGAACCUCACCUUCAAAUGCAUCCUGUCGACGCUGUUGAAUAUUGGCAUCUUCCUGAACGGUGCACCGGUGAAGGGUUUCCAGAUCGACUAUCUGGCGAAGGUGCCCGAGGUGAAGGACACCGUGCACAAGCACUCGCUGCUUCACCAUCUCUGCCACAUGGUGAUGGAAUCGCAGGCCAACACCACCGACCUGUACUCGGAGAUAGGGCCGAUCACGCGCGCCUCCAAGGCGGACUUUAACGAGCUGGCUCACAACAUCGUCUAUCUGGAGACGGAGUGUAAGGCGUCCUGGGACCGGUUGAAGCUGAUCGGCAAACACGAUACCGCACCGCAUCUCAAGCAGAAGCUGAUUGAUUUUCUGGCCGACUGUGCCGAACGGAUUAUCAUCCUGGACAUAGUACAUCGGCGGGUAUUGAACAGGUAUCGAAAGUUCCUGCUAUGGCUCGGUGUACCCCAGCUACGAAUCGCCGAAUCACGGCCGAACGAAUUCUGCCGGAUUGUGUCCGAGUUUGCGCUCGAGUAUCGAACAACGCGCGAACGGGUUCAGCAGCAGAUCGAGAAGAAGGCCAACCAUCGAGAGAGAAACAAGACUAGAGGCAAGCUGAUUGUGGAUGUUGCCAAGCUCAAAACGCAAGAGGACCGGGCGGAUGACGAGCUGCGCACGCUGCUUGGCACACCGACCAAGGGCCCCGGUGGAGAUGAGGUGGAGAUGAGCGGUACAUUAACCUGGCGCCGGCGUCGCGGUGACGCGACAGCAUCCCCCGUCACACUCAUGAACUCGCACCCUACCGUACCCAGUCCGGGACAUAACUCCGUCUCGGUGAUGGGCGGACGGGACGAAAGCUUCACCGAUGGCGACGAUGAGAUACUGGAGUCGCUAGUGAAAACGGCCACCAAAACGGCCACCCCGCGGCCAAUGCAAAGGGAGCGAAAACGUACGCGCCAGGCAGAUCGGAAAUCAUUCAAACGAUCUAGAACGCGCGAAGGAUUCACAAUGGAACGCACCGGAAGCUCACCUCCCCUUUAACCGAGUGCAACUGGCAGCGUCUCCCCUCCUUUCUCGCUAGGGUUCCCGUACUAUCCUUCCAUCUCGAGCAGUAGAUCGGCUUUGUGCUUAUCUGUUAAGUGCCUCCACUACCGACUACCUACUGGAGAGACCUUUCCGCACACACACUUUCCAUUCAGUAUCGGUUCGCAAUUAUACAUACCGUACGCCGCACGCUGAAGAACGGAUUAUCGGAGGAGGAAAAGCAACAUGUAGCCUCGUUAAUAAAAGGAUAUUGAAUUCGGGCCGCAUCAUCACCCGCACCCAGCUGGAAACGGGCAGGCGAGGAACCGCGGGCGGAUCGAAGGACAUUUGCGCUGCGGGCUGAAUCUAUGUGAUGGGUGUGCGUGUGCCUAUGUUUGUGUGACUGAACGGCUGCUAUGCCGCUGUACCGUGGACAAAGCGCUGCCUCGUGAGAUGUUCCAAGAUCGAUACGCCUCUCCAGCACCAGCACUUUGUUCCGCUUGAAGUAAUUCCAAUGGGUGGGAUCAAUUCGAGAAGCUCACUGUUUCGCGAGCGUGAAACAGAUCAUUUUAUAUCACUAUAACCAAAAUGGAACCGAAACAAACUUAGCUAGGCCAAAUAAGCAGAUAGGCGGAACCGAUUGGGAUGCUUUUGAGAUGCGCAAAAGAGAGUGAGAGAGAGAGAGAGAGAGAGAGAGAGAGAGAGAGUAGAAUAGAAUUUGGUUGGCUAUUCGGUCGGCCCAGCAUUACACCAGUGGAGCUGCUUAUAAUUUGGGAGGGGAAAGGAGUGAUCGUAUUAAAUAAAAGAAGGAAUCUUACACCGACCAUGUGAUACGAAAAAGGGAAAAAGGGGAUACUUUUAACCAACAGAAGACUCAAUCCUUAUGAAAAUCAAAGAUUAAUGAAAUGAGACGUUCGUGCAGCAGACCAACUAUGCUAAUAGCAUUGGGUGUAUAGAGAGAGAGAGAGAGAGAGAGAGAGAGAGAGAGAGAGAGAGAGAGAGAGAGAGAGGGGGGGAGAGGUGCAAAGAGAGAGGGAGAGUUUUAACUUACCUAGUAACUGAUACAAUAACUAUUCAAUGUAAACGACGGGCACGAGAUAGGUAGAGCAAAUGUACCGAACCGAUGUGUAUGCAUUGACAAACAGCCGUUUUUAGUAUUGCGAAAUUCAUAUUGUGCAUGCUAAGCGACAUGUAUAACAAGUAUCUUCGGCCUGCCAACUAUAUCAAUAAAAUAUCAACAAUUUCAAAACAUGUGUUAA